GACGAACCGAGCGAACGUUGUUCGGAAUCACUGGGCUUAAAGGGCGCGUAGGCGGGCUGUCAAGUCUGGGGUGAAAUCCCGCGGCUCAACCGUGGAACUGCCUUAGAUACUGACGGCCUCGAGGGAGGUAGGGGCGAGCGGAACUGUGAGUGGAGCGGUGAAAUGCGUUGAUAUUCACAGGAACUCCGGUGGCGAAGGCGGCAUACUGGUCCACUUCUGACGCUGAGGCGCGAAAGCCAGGGGAGCAAACGGG
rnacentral:rRNA from 1 species